GAUGAACGCUGGCGGCGUGCCUAAUACAUGCCAGUCGAGCGAACAGAUGAGGAGCUUGCUCCUCUGUCGUUAGCGGCGGACGGGUGAGUAACACGUGUAUAACCUACCUAUAAUACUGGGAUAACUUCGGAAAACCGGCGCUAAUACCGGAUAAUAUAUUGAACCACAUGGUUCAAUAGUGAAAGACGGUUUUGCUGUCACUUAUCGAUGCAUCCCCGCCGUAUUAGCUAGUUGGUAGGGUAACGGCCUACCAAGGCAACGAUGCGUAGCCGACCUGAGGGGGGGGUAGGCCACACGAGAAGGGAGACGCGGUCAAGGCUCCUACGGGAGGCAGCAGAAGGGAAUGUGAGGCAGUGGGCGGGAGCAUGACGGAGCAAGGCGACGUGAGUGAUAGAGGUGUCCGGAUCGUGAAGACCUGUUAUGAGGGAUGAACAAAUGUGGAAGGAAAUGUGCACGGAUUGACGGUAACGGGUCAGAAAGCAACGGCUAACUACGUG
rnacentral:rRNA from 1 species